UGUUGCAUGGCUGUCGUCAGCUCGUGUCGUGAGAUGUUGGGUUAAGUCCCGCAACGAGCGCAACCCUCAUCCUUAGUUACCAUCAGGUAAUGCUGGGGACUUUAAGGAAACUGCCAGUGAUAAACUGGAGGAAGGUGGGGAUGAUGUCAAGUCAUCAUGGCCCUUAUGGAGUGGGCUACACACGUGCUACAAUGGUGGCUACAAUGAGCUGCAAAGUCGCGAGGCUAAGCUAAUCCCUUAAAAGCCAUCUCAGUUCGGAUUGUACUCUGCAACUCGAGUGCAUGAAGUUGGAAUCGCUAGUAAUCGUGGAUCAGCACGCCACGGUGAAUACGUUCUCGGGUC
rnacentral:rRNA from 1 species